rnacentral:rRNA from 1 species
GUGGGGAAUCUUAGACAAUGGGCGCAAGCCUGAUCUAGCCAUGCCGCGUGAGCGAUGAAGGCCUUAGGGUUGUAAAGCUCUUUCGUGGGGGAAGAUAAUGACUGUACCCCAAGAAGAAGCCCCGGCUAACUCCGUGCCAGCAGCCGCGGUAAUACGGAGGGGGCUAGCGUUGUUCGGAAUUACUGGGCGUAAAGCGCACGUAGGCGGACCAGAAAGUCAGAGGUGAAAGCCCGGGGCUCAACCCCGGAACUGCCUUUGAAACUCCUGGUCUUGAGGUCGAGAGAGGUGGGUGGAAUUCCGGGUGUAGAGGUGAAAUUCGUAGAUAUUCGGAGGAACACCAGUGGCGAAGGCGGCCCACUGGCUCGAUACUGACGCUGAGGUGCGAAAGCGUGGGGAGCAAACAGGAUUAGAUACCCUUGUAGUCC